rnacentral:rRNA from 1 species
UACGGAGGGUGCGAGCGUUGUCCGGAAUCACUGGGCGUAAAGGGCGCGUAGGCGGCCUGAUAAGUAGGGGGGUGAAAUCCUGCGGCUUAACCGCAGGGCUGCCUUCUAAACUGUCAGGCUCGAGCACAGUAGAGGCAGGUGGAAUUCCCGGUGUAGCGGUGGAAUGCGUAGAGAUCGGGAAGAACAUCAGUGGCGAAGGCGGCCUGCUGGGCUGUUGCUGACGCUGAGGCGCGACAGCGUGGGGGGAGCAAACAGG